rnacentral:rRNA from 1 species
AGCAGCCGCGGUAAUUCCAGCUCCAAUAGCGUAUAUUAAAGUUGUUGCAGUUAAAAAGCUCGUAGUUGAAUUUCGGGAUCGACGGGUCGGUCGCGCCUCUGGUGUGUACUGGCCCUGUCGGUUUCUCCCUUCUGACGAACCACGAUGUCAUUAAUUUGGUGUCGUGGGAAAUCAGGACUGUUACUUUGAAAAAAUUAGAGUGUUUAAAGCAGGCAUUCGCUUGAAUACAUUAGCAUGGAAUAAUGAAAUAGGACGUUUGAUCUUAUUUUGUUGGUUUCUAAGAUCGACGUAAUGAUUAAUAGGGAUAGUUGGGGGCAUUAGUAUUCAAUUGUCAGAGGUGAAAUUCUUGGAUUUAUUGAAGACUAACUACUGCGAAAGCAUUUGCCAAGGAUGUUUUCAUUAAUCAAGAACGAAAGUUAGGGGAUCGAAGGCGAUCAGAUACCGUCGUAGUCUUAACCAUAAACUAUGCCGACUAGGGAUCGGAUGAUGUAAUUUUUAAUGA